GACCCAUCUACCGUUCCUAAAUCUCUUUUUCUUUUUUUUUUUCAAUCUUUUUCUUAUUUCUUAUUUCCUACUUCUUCUUUUCUCUUAUUUUCUUUUAGAUCCAGAAAUAUCUAUGAACAUGACAUUAAACAAAAUUUUUAAUGAAUUAUCUAAUAUAUUUCGGAUCAUUCAGUGAAAACAUGGAUUCGGAUCUCGAUCAGUGACAAACGGAAUUAAAGUUGCAGGUAUUAUGCGAUAAUUGCAGGAAACUUGGUUAUUUCAUGAUGUGAAGGAGAUAAAAGUAAUUUCAAGAACCUGGGGCUUAGGUAUUCAAUUGCAUUGGUUUGUCGAGGGCAUAUGGGAGUCCGGGACUAUAAUCUGUUAACAUCUCUGUGGUUCAGUCUACGUUUGAUUUGAAUCUUUCAGAAAAAUCAACUUUGAAAAGCAUUCCAAACAUGCCUUACCCUGCCUACAUUGUUAAUGAAUAAUGAUGGAUCUUUCAUUACUUUGAUCCAACAAGAACUUAUGUAUGAGCCACCUAUAAUGCAAGAAUUGGAUGAUAUUUGAUUAUGUUUUUGAAGCUGAUAUACUUGAGAUGUAGACAAUGGAUUACUUGAUUCUGUUUUCAAUAGCUGAAAUACACCCUCAUAUGUGUCCUUUAUU